UUGCGGCCGAGAGCAUCCCAACCACUACCAUCUUCAUCAAUUUUCACUCUUCUUCUCCAAGUUAAACUCUAAUCUUCAAACGUAAGUUCUUCCAAGUGUUCUUGAAGUUUUGAUCUUCAAAUCUUCAAAGUGUUCGUGAAGUGUUCUUGACUUGAAACUUCCCAUGUACAACCGUCCAUUCAUAAAGAAAACACACAUAAGGUAUUAAUACGAAGACAUAUUGCACAGAGAGAUUUAAAGGAGAUAUAAAUCAAUCGUGUAAUUAAAUGUAAGUUCUGUUUAUGCUUAUAUGUCUGUAUCGGAACAUGACAUCCCGAGGUUUUAUUAUUAAAUGAAAAUACAUUCUCUUUGAGAAAUGUUUUGAUAAGUUAUUAUCAUAUUUUGUUUUGGGAACAAAUUCUGCAACUGUUUUCUUUAAAAGAA